CUGGCGGCACGCCUAACACAUGCAAGUCGAACGAAGUAGCAAUACUUAGUGGCAGACGGGUGAGUAACAUGUAGGUAUCUACCCUGUGGCCUGGAAUAACACGAGGAAACUUGUGCUAAUACUGGAUAAGUCUUUACGGAGAAAGCUUUAUGCACCAUUGGAUGAGCCUGCACUUGAUUAGUUUGUUGGUAGGGUAAUGGCCUACCAAGACUGUGAUCAAUAGCUGAUUUGAGAGGAUGAUCAGCCACAUUGGGACUGAGACACGGCCCAAACUCCUACGGGAGGCAGCAGUGGGGAAUCUUGCACAAUGGAGGAAACUCUGAUGCAGCGAUGCCGCGUGAGUGAAGAAGGCCUUUGGGUUGUAAAGCUCUUUCGUCGGGGAAGAAAAUGACUGUACCCGAAUAAGAAGGUCCGGC
rnacentral:rRNA from 1 species